rnacentral:tRNA from 1 species
GGUCGAUGCUGGUUAAUGGGGACGGACUGUAAAUCCGCUGGCAAUGCCUACGCUGGUUCAAAUCCAGCUCGGCCCAAA